GGGGCUGACCGGAAUUGACAGCUUGAGCAGGUCGCGAGUAAGCGUGCCAGGAGUUGAAUGGAUCUUCUGAGACCAAUUCGUUCGAACAAUAACUGGCGAGUAUAGCUACGCCAUGGCUGCUUAGUCUAGGUACUAGGUAAUGUCAUCGUCCCGCACCCGUUUUCUUUUACACGGGUGAGUUCGGGGCGUCGUAAGUAGAAGAUAGCCAGAAAGGAGGUGUGACUUUCUGGCGAAAACCAACUGCAUCUAAGCAGACUCUACGGGCCUGAUGCGCGCCCGGAGUCUGACGAAAAUCUAAGCGUAGAUACGCACGUAGAAAGCUCGACGGUUUCCUUGUCUGGACCAGGGUUCGACUCCCUGCAGCUCCACUG
rnacentral:tmRNA from 1 species